CCCUUAGAUGUCCUGGGCCGCACGCGCGUUACACUGAUGCAUUCAACGAGCUUAUAACCUUGGCCGAGAGGCCUGGGCAAUCUUGUUAACGUGCAUCGUGAUAGGGAUAGAUUAUUGAAAUUAUUAAUCUUGAACGAGGAAUUCCUAGUAAACGCAGAUUAUCAAUCUGCAUUGAUUACGUCCCUGCCCUUUGUACACACCGCCCGUCGCACCUACCGAUUGGAUGGUCCGGUGAAGCCUCGGGAUUGUGGUUCUUGCCGCUUUAUUGUGGCGUGACCGCGAGAACUUGUCUAAACCUUAUCAUCUAGAGGAAGGUGAAGUCGUAACA
rnacentral:rRNA from 1 species